CUCCUUGGGUCCUCGUAUUCUGGGGCCUCUGGAUGUCUGGGGCCUGGAUCUCCUCCAUACCUGCUUCAUGCCCUGGGGGACGGGGCUAUGGCUCCCCACACUCCCUAGCAGAUCGCUACAUGGAGAAACCUUUUGAAUACAAGCAUGCUGAUCCACACAGGUGUGCACACAGGUCUUCACAGACACCAACUACACCUUUCUUGGCUGCUACCUCAAAGCACAUUGUGCGCUGUCGAUCUUGCGUGCUGCACAAUAACAUGUAAUAUUUAGUAUCAACUCUUACCUACUGUUAGCUAGUUUAUUGUGAUGGUGUCGUAUUUAUUAUGUUGCUCUUUGUUGUUUGUUUUCUCUUCUGUUUUUUCUUAUCUCCAUACAGGUGACUCAGGUGUUUUGUUUCUUUUUUUUCUUCCCCCCUUUCUCACCAUCUCUUCUCUCCUCUAUUUUUCUUUCUCUCCCUCUCUUUCUUUCAUUCUUUCUCCCUGUCCUACCCCCCAGUCAUGUCUGUCCCGUCUGUAGCAACUGAAAAUCAAAUACAUACAUAAUUAUAAUAAAGGUCAAUCAAAUGGACAAACAUGGCAAGGCCAUGAUGAUCCACUUGGUAAAGUAAAUCCACUUUGGCAUCUUUCUUGGCCUUCAGACAACAAUUCUGAUGGCUAAAGAUCCAAACGGGACAGGCAAAAAAAAAAAAAUUACAAAAUUAAAAAAUAAAAUGAGUGUCAUAGAAGAGCGAAUGCUGCCAACCUCUGCUAUUCAGAAGUUUUCUUUCAACCUUUGUAUAACUCAGAAAUUGGAGCUAUGUAAUGUUGAGGUUAAAUCUGUGGAUGCCAUCUUACAUUCAGGUUGGAUUUGCACUUUUCUAAAACCAAAAUUUUGUUUGAUUCCAGCUGAAUUCAAGUCAUAAACAUGGACUUGUUGCAAUUAACACCUGCUUAUUAUAAAGGUACUAAGACCGAGGCCAGUUCCUUUCUGGGCUUGCUCAUGCACCCAUGUCAUUUCAACAUUUGCUUCUAUUCUUGAUAGUCUUUGAUCUUUUCUUUCAUCUGUUGGUCCUUCCCAAUCUUUUCUCUCCCC
ensembl:lncRNA